UAGUGGUACGACGUCCGCCUGGAAACCCAGGGGUCGUGGGUUCAAGCCCGG
rnacentral:tRNA from 11 species